AGAGGUUGAGGUUGCGCAAAGUCAAAAUAUAACAGACACUUUUUUCCUGCUUUUUCAGAUGCCUCGGGGGGAGAGGAGGAGAGAGAACCGGAGAAAGAGGAGGAGAGAGAACCGGAGAAAGAGGAGGAGAGAGAACCGGAGAAAGAGGAGGAGAAACAGCCCACAUGAGAAGAAAGGAAAGAAGAGGAAUCAGGAACCCGUUCCGGCUAAGAAGAAGACUGCACUGAAAUCCCAGGAGUGAUUUAUGGCUCAGGAGAAGAAAGUUGAUGAGGGCGAGAAAAAGACCAAGAACAAGAGAUAGGUAAGACUAAGGAUGGAGGGGAUUGAAGAGACACCUGCUGUCCUAAAAAGGAACUGCAGUUAAAAUGUGCCUUAAUUCAACCACAUUGGUGUUAGAAGUGGGAAUUAUAUCUCUGUUUGUAUUCAGAAGAAGACGAUCACAGACGUCCUGGCCACGACGGAACCCAAACCGGUCGCUUUAGGCGACCUGCUGAACCUGCUUCUAAAGCACUUCAAAGAUGGGGCGGCCAGGUAGCUUAGUGGUUAGAGCGUUGGACUAGUAACCAGAAGGUUGCAAGUUCAAAUCCCCAAGCUGACAAGGUACAAGUCUGUCGUUCUGCCCCUGAACAGGCAGUUAACCCACUGUUCCUAGGCUGUCAUUGAAAAUAAGAAUUUGUUCUUAACUGACUUGCCUAGUUAAAUAAAGGUUAAGGAAAAAAAAGAUGAGCACUCAGAAUAGUUUAAACUCCAGGGUGAGUCACCUGACCUCUGUAUUCUUUUACCAGCAGGUCUAAGGGCUGUCAGCCUUUCUGUCAGUCUCUAUUUCUUUCUAUCUCUCCCUCUGUACCCCUUCUCUCCCUCUCACUCCCCCUCUCUCUCUCUUCUAUCUCUCCCUUCUCUCCCUCUCACUCCCCCUCACUCUCUUUCUCUCUCUCCCGCUCUUACUCAGUCACUUUCUCUGAAUAACGUAAUGUGACUUUUUUCUCUGGUUCCUGCUUCCUGACGAGUAAUGACCUCACACACGGCCUCUCCUCCUACCUAAAAGAAAAUGUGUACUUGGGUAUAACUUAAUAGUCUGGUGUUGGCUUCCCCUCCUCAUCUCCUCUUCUUCAUCUGACUGACCUGUGGAGGAAGUUAAAAGAGUAGAGGAGCAGCUGAAGCUUGAGGUGACAUGCAUUGGGGAGGGAACACCAGGGAGACUGAAAGCCCUCCUAGGGAAAGGUGGGCACUCAUUUACUACCCCUCAGGGUUUUAACCCCAGUCUGGCCUUGCCAGCGCUGCGCUUCCUGCUUCUGAACUGGAAUUGGAGGGACCAGAAGCCUCGCAUGAUGGUGGACAUCCCUGAUGUCCAAACUGAUUUGCUGAAGCUGCUGGAUACAGGCAUCUUGAAAGGCUGUAGAGAAGGAAACACAAACACACACCCAACCAUUUCGAACUGGACCUCUUCUGCUCUCACACAAACACACACACCACAGUUAUUGUAGUAAACAAAAACUGAAACAAAAAUUGGGAAAACAAUUGCAAAACAG